CCUACGGGCGGCUGCAGUAGGGAAUCUUCCACAAUGGACGCAAGUCUGAUGGAGCAACGCCGCGUGAGUGAAGAAGGCUUUCGUGUCGUAAAACUCUGUUGUUGGAGAAGAAUGGUCGGCAGAGUAACUGUUGUCGGCGUGACGGUAUCCAACCAGAAAGCCACGGCUAACUACGUGCCAGCAGCCGCGGUAAUACGUAGGUGGCAAGCGUUAUCCGGAUUUAUUGGGCGUAAAGCGAGCGCAGGCGGUUUUUUAAGUCUGAUGUGAAAGCCCUCGGGUUAACCGAGGAAGCGCAUCGGAAACUGGGAAACUUGAGUGCAGAAGAGGACAGUGGAACUCCAUGUGUAGCGGUGAAAUGCGUAGAUAUAUGGAAGAACACCAGUGGCGAAGGCGGCUGUCUGGUCUGUAACUGACGCUGAGGCUCGAAAGCAUGGGUAGCGAACAGGAUUAGAUACCCUUGUAGUC
rnacentral:rRNA from 1 species